CUACCCCACAUAUGAUUCCCUUGAGUCUCUCAAGCAGUCUGUGCUGCUUCUAAACCAUGGAUGCCUGGCAGCUAGAGUUUCUAACAGUAUUUCCAAACACUGGGAAGCAUUUAUCUUAAAUGAAAACUGGACACCACCCACAGCACCUUGGUAAAGGUAAAGUGUCAGCUUUGACGAAUGAAAAAAUGACAGAAAAUUUUCGCUGAUGUUAAAAAAUUUAUACUUGAGAGCAAAAUCUUCGAAGAGAAGGGGAGGAGACUCUGCAUUUCAUGAUUAAGCCAGAAAGAGCAAGGAGACUCACAGAAAACCUGGCUUCCGGAUCCGGCGAAGGUAUGUGAAUUUAGGGAACUCAUCGUUCCCCUCACCGCAUCUAUAAACACACAAGCAAAUAUCCAGGCUGCUCGGGAGCUACCUGCCUUCUCCUUUUACCAUUUCUAAGUCUGCAGCAAUUCCUGAUGUGGAUUAAUUCUGAUUCCUAAUCUGCGAAACAAAAACGGUACUGUCUUUACUAAGGGACGGUUAGAUUAUCUGUUUGCCAACAGCAAUAUUUGGAUGGAAAUUUAAAAUACGUUGUUUUUCCAAGAGUUAGACUUUAAAGGCGGGGAAGCACGGCUUAUGCAAUACUAGCAGCGAAUCGGUUAACCACUAACUUCUUUCGUGUUCAAGAGGCGCUUUCAAGUUUCCAUUUGGAAGCGAAAGAAACUUCACUCCUUUAGCUCAAAGAGACCCUCCUUAUGCGUGCUUACACAAAGCUGCUUCUCUGGUUACAGGUCACAUUGUCUACAUUGCAGAUUUACACUGGGCUGCUUUUGGCAACCUGGCCUCCACUCAAGAUGACCAAUACCUCCAUCACUCAGGGCUGCCUGGGGGAUGUCAUUCUAUCCUGUAGGGCAAGUCGCACUCAGGUCUCCUUCCUCCCCGAAGCCCUCUGCAGGUGCUGAGACUUCUGCAAAAAAAAAAAAA
ensembl:lncRNA